GAUGGGAUAGCUCAGUGGUAGAGCACAUGCUUAGCAUGCACGAGGUCCUGGGUUCAAUCCCCAGUACCGCCA
rfam:Camelus ferus unplaced genomic scaffold scaffold132, whole genome shotgun sequence.